CGCAGCCGCGGUAAUUCCAGCUCCAAUAGCGUAUAUUAAAGUUGUUGCAGUUAAAAAGCUCGUAGUUGAAUUUCAGGCCUGGCUGGACGGUCCGCCCUUCGGGUGAGUACUGUCUGUGGUCGGGUCCUACCUUCUGGCGAAGCGUCAUGGCCUUAACCGGCCGUGGCGGGGAACCAGGACUUUUACUGUGAAAAAUUAGAGUGUUCAAAGCAGGCAAUCGCUUGGAUACAUUAGCAUGGAAUAAUGGAAUAGGACAAUGGUUCUAUUUGUUGGUUUCUAGGACCGUUGUAAUGAUUAAUAGGGAUAGUUGGGGGCAUUAGUAUUCAAUUGUCAGAGGUGAAAUUCUUGGAUUUAUUGAAGACUAACUACUGCGAAAGCAUUUGCCAAGGAUGUUUUCAUUAAUCAAGAACGAAAGUUAGGGGGUCGAAGACGAUCAGAUACCGUCGUAGUCUUAACCAUAAACUAUGCCGACUAGGAAUCGGGCGAUGUUGAAAAAUGACGCGCUCGGCACCUCAUG
rnacentral:rRNA from 1 species